rnacentral:rRNA from 1 species
GAAGCCUUUGGCGUGAGCCUGGGUUGAACUGUGUUUAGUGCAGAUCUUGGUGUUAGUAGCAAAUAUUCAAAUGAGAACUUUGAAGACCGACGUGGAGAAGGGUUCCAUGAGAACAGCAUUUGGUCAUGGGUUAUCCGAUCCUAAGGCAUAGGGAAAUUCCUUGUAAUACAAGAGCAAUUUGCUCGUUGCCGAAAGGGAAUGAGGUUAAUAUUCCUCAGACUGGACGUGGAUAUUGUAUGGUAACAUAAGUGAGCCCGGAGACAUCGGUAUGAACUCCUGGAAGAGUUAUCUUUUCUUUUUAACAAUCUAUCGCCCUGAAAUGGGAUUAUCCCGAGCUAGGGCUUUAUGGUUGGCAGAGCAUCGCACUCUAUGCAAUGUCAGGUGCGUUCAUAACGAUCCUUGAAAAUCCGGGUAAGAGAUUUAUUCUCACGCCAGGUCGUACCAUAACCGCAUCAGGUCUCCAAGGUUAGCAGCCUCUGGUCAAUAGGAUAAUGCAGAUAAGGG